UGAGUUUGAGAUGAUUUAGUGCCCCAAUGU
rnacentral:piRNA from 1 species